ACUAAUAAUAAAUCAAAAUGGUAUUUUUUUUCCUUUAUAACUAUUUAUCUUAUAAUAUUUAAUAAUAAUUUUCUCAUAAUAUCCAUACAUAAUAUCUACUAGACAUGAAUUCCAACUAAAUAAUAAAACUCUAUAAGAGGACAAAGAUCUUCAGAUGGCUAUUGACCAAUUAUUUACAAACAUCUUAAGAAAUAUUAAAGAACUAAAGGACUUGAUUACUUGAUUCUUUGAGGAUCUAUAUACCUAAUUAAUAUUUUUUCAUCAAACAAACUUAUCACCUUCUAGAAAACCAAACAACUUAAUUAUAAUAGAAGACAAAGAAGUAAGAAGCAUGUACCUCCAUAUUUUGAUCGGCCUAUACAUAUCAAC
rnacentral:lncRNA from 1 species